rnacentral:misc_RNA from 1 species
GGUCGGUGCGCUGGCAUAGUUGUAGGUGAAGUGAGACGACUGGGACUCGUUAUGGCCGGGGUGGUGGUGGAUGGGGGAGGAGUCGGUGGAAUGGAUGUGGGAGUCGUCCUCAUCGUCAUCCUCGUCGGAGUCAUCGUCGGAAAAGUGGAUGUGCGAGCCAGAGUGGGAAUGACGGGCCUGUACGGGACCGGGACCACCACUGCUGCUUGCAGCUGUG